AUCUAACUGACAAGUCCCAAAUAGAACGAAAUGCACACCUAGAU
rnacentral:hammerhead_ribozyme from 1 species